rnacentral:rRNA from 1 species
AUUGAACGCUGGCGGCAGGCCUAACACAUGCAAGUCGAGCGGAGCGGCAGACGGGUGCGUAUUGCCUAUGAAUCUGCCUGUUCGUGCGGGAUAACGUUCGGAACUGGGCGCUAUUACCGCAUACUAUAAGCAGCGCCUAGGUCGGAUUAGCUAGUUGGUGGGGUAAAGGUCUACCAAGGCGACGAUCCGUACCUGGGCUGAGAGGAUGAUCAGGCACACUGGAACUGAGACACUGUCCAGACUCCUACGGGAGGAAGCAGGGGGGAAUAUUGGACAAUGGGCGAAAGCCUGAUCCAGCCAUGCCGCGUGUGGGAAGAAGGUCUUCGGAUUGUAAAGCACUUUAAGUUGGGAGGCGUUACCAACAGAAGAAGCACCGGCUAACUUCGUGCCAGCAGCCGCGGUAAUUC